CCUGGAGAGAGAAAGCAAGAGAUUACAGAAAGUAUGUUGACAUUAGCUCUUGGAAGAGUUAAGACACAAGACUGAAAACCUUGAGGAUUAACAGCAAGGCGAGGGGACCAAAGUGUUAGAUAUAUGACUAAGGGAUCUGAAGCAGAAGACCAUUCCAAGAUACAGCUUUUCUCUGUGUGGUCCCUCAAAAGCCACAGCAGCCUCUGUCAUGCUGACUUCCUGGACCACAUCCUACACACAGAUGGCUGGCAAUCUAAGAGGACUCUUCAGGACACCAUGGAGCUGACUUAUCUUGCCAGAAAAUUGAAAUCUUAAGACCAGUGAGCCUGACUAUGAAACACUUUGGAAAACUGAAGAAAUAGAGAAGCUGAUUCUAAAUUCCUAUAGAAACUCAAGGGAUCCAGAAUAACCAUAACAAUUUUGAAAAAGAAGAAUAAAGUUAAUGGACUCACAUUUCCUG